AGCUCCACUAGCGUAUAUUAAAGUUGCUGCAGUUAAAAAGCUCGUAGUCGGAUCUCGGGAUCGUGUCGGUGAUUUGGUUGCUUCUCCUGCGUUUCGGCGUUGGGGGUUGUGGCCGGUCAUCGGCCCUGCCGGCGAGGUCCCUACCUUUGGUGGGGUUCCACCUCGCUCGUGCAGCCCGCCGUUGCGAUUUGGCGGGGGUCCUUAAUUGGAUGCCCGUCUCGAUCGUGACCAUUUUACCUUGAACAAAGCGGAGUGCUCAAAGCAGGCUCUCUAUCGCGCGAACGGUAGCGCAUGGAAUAAUGGAAGAGGACUUGCUUCCGCUUCUGUUGGUCUCACGGAGGCAGGUAAUGAUCAAGAGGGACGGACGGGGGCAGAGGUAUGUCUCGGCGAGAGGUGAAAUUCUUGGACCCUAGACAGACCCUCGAGAGCGAAAGCAUCUGCCAAGGAUGUUUCCA
rnacentral:rRNA from 1 species